rnacentral:rRNA from 1 species
GAUGAACGCUAGCGGCAGGCUUAAUACAUGCAAGUCGAGGGGCAGCGCAGUGUAGCAAUACAUGGGCGGCGACCGGCAAACGGGUGCGGAACACGUACGCAAUCUACCCAAAACUGAUGAAUAGCCCUCCGAAAGGAGGAUUAAUACAUCGUAACUUAAUGAAGUGGCAUCGCUUUAUUAAUAUAGCUCCGGCGGUUUUGGAUGAGCGUGCGCCUGAUUAGGAGUUGGCGGGGUAACGGCCCACCAAGCCUGCGAUCAGUAACUGGUGUGAGAGCACGACCAGUCACACGGGCACUGAGACACGGGCCCGACUCCUACGGGAGGCAGCAGUAAGGAAUAUUGGUCAAUGGACGCAAGUCUGAACCAGCCAUGCCGCGUGAAGGAUGAAGGUCCUCUGGAUUGUAAACUUCUUUUAUCU